rnacentral:lncRNA from 1 species
GUUUAAAUGAUAACUUUAUGAAUUUUUUAUAUAAAUGCAUGUCUAAAGUUUCUAUACUUUACUGCUUUAUAUGGAAUAUUCUAUAGAAGCACAUUAAAUUCUAGCACUUGCAAGCAGUCCAGUAUCUUUUUUCUAUAUGAGAGGAGCACUUUCGGCUGCUGCCACUUCAGUUCUCAAACUUAUUCCAGACUGUUUUCUAGCCCUAGAUAGAAGAGUGUAUGAGAAUAAUAUAGAAGUCAGUCAGGAAGAAAGCAAAAUUAUAAAGAAAAUCGACAGAGAAGAAGAACUAUACAUAGCAGAAAGUAUACAAAUUUACAAAGGACAAAGAAAUACAAUAGUUAUCAAUGAUAGAUAGACAGAAAACCUGCAUAAACCAUGGAGAUACCUCCUAAGAUAAAAUUGUAAUAAUAGAAUACCG